GGCCACCUCGUGCUCGGCCCCCUGAUCCGGCAUUUUUGGUAUGAAUUUGAUGAAUCUUCUGAUGCUCUGUUCUUUUUCAUCUAGAGAUUUCUUCUCAUAUUGACUAUUUAUAUUGCAUGUACCCGUUUUUUUAAAAAUACUCGAGUCCAACUAGCAAAACCAAUAGCAGUCCUAUAGUGCAACCUGCAUCAGAUUAAAAAAUAGCAAAAUUGACUUGAAGCAAGGAAACAUAAAUUGCAGAAAGCAAUUAGCAAAGAACUUGUAUGGGAAAUUGACAGAAAGUUUCGAGUCAGGAAAACGAAAAUUUCAAAGAAGCAAAGAUAAGUUCAGAUACCCCCAUCUUCCAUGGAGAUUGCGAGCUCUCAUGAUUUUUGCUUGAGAAUUUCUCCUUUGGGUCUGUCCACUGUAUUUCCUGUACAGCGGCGUCCUUUUUUUUUUCUAGUGUUCCUCUUUUGAUGUUCUUGCAUGUGUUUAACACACUAAUGCUCCAGGUUUCUCUAUUUUAUGUUACGAUGGUAGUGACAUUGGAGAAGAAAGGUGUGUCGAGGUACAAAUCUUGAGUUUUUGGAGGUUCAAUGCAUUGCUGCUAAAAGGUACAUUAUCUAAAUAGUAUAAUGCAAUUUAUUAAUAAAAAUAAAAUAGUGAUUCAGUAUGUAUUAUAUGAGCAGUUCAUACAAAAAAAGAAGCAAAAAGUUGUGAUUCAGUAUGUAUUAUAUGUCCAUUUGUUUUAUUCAGCAUAAGGCUUCCAAGCAUGGUUCAGUUUCAGCACAAAGGCUCAGUUCAACAGAAACCAUGCCGACUUGGAUUUUUUUCCCAACACAUGUGAAUGCUAGUCUUCUUACCGGCUUACCACUUAAUAAGUUACUGGACUGACCAAAACUAUCUGUAGUACUAGUUGACAUCACUAUUCAAGAUAAAUUUUGAGCUAUAAGUUCCAUUUUUUCCUUCCCGUUUUGAUACAUAUUUGGGAAUUACCUUUGUUAAUUUUGGCAUCUCCCGACGCCUCGCGCCCCCGGAGAAGCCACCCGCUGGAUCCAGUAGGGCAACGUUAUUGACGCCGUAGUCCUCCGGUGUCACCUUUCCCAUCCCUGUCCAGGUGUAGGACUCACACCAGUCCAGCUCUUCCUAGCUUCUCCGUUCGAGCUCUUCGUGCCAUGAUUGAUGGGCAAUUCAUCAUUAUAAACAUAAAUUUCUUUCAAUUCUGAAACGUGUACAAUUCUAGGAACAUUGUUGUGCAGACCAAAAGUUUGUGAUGGAUAUUCUCUUCACAUUUUUUGUGUUUUGGAGCAAAUGAACAUAGAUUGUUGACACAGUAGCUUCUAAUUUUUUGCAUUGGAUUUGGAGAUAUGAACAAUGAUUGAUUUUGAUCAGUACUUGGUUGUGUGAUAUUUUUGGAACUAGGACGACCUUGACCUUCGUCUGCUUCUCAUUUCCAGCAGCAUCCAGGACGACCUCGACCUACUGCCACUAGCAGUUGGUGCACCUCCUGUUAGUUGCUAGCUGUUACCUAGCGUGCUUGAUGCUACCGCUACAAAGAAGGUAAUAAAAAAUAUUCACUGCCACUAUUGUCUUGCAUGUUCAGAAAUUGGGUCUGAUGUUGUGUGGGCAUGCAGCAUAAUUCUAAGGAAAUAAAUAUAGAAGUUCAUAUAUGAAGCAUAAUUAUGCUGCAUACUCUGUAGUUAACCAUUGCUAAAAAUCAUCUUAGAAAUUAUCUCUUUUAGAUAGUUCACCUUUUCUAAAAACUGUAGUUCUCUGGUUAGAAAAAACAAUAGUUAUCUCUGCAAAAAAAAAUGACAAUCUUUUGGUAAACUCUCAAUCUCUUCUCAGUCUUAGUGUAUGCUCGCUGGCGAUGCGUCCAGCAUGCUUGCGGUGAUAUCGCCAUAGUGGCCACCACUAAUGGCAUUGGCGGCUAGCAUGCUCGCACAAAAAAUAGCUAGCUAGGUGUUCAGGAUCGUCUAUUUUAUCCCCUGAAACAGGGUGCUCAGGACGUCUAUUUUAUUUUCUGAAACACUAGCUAGGUGUUCCCAGUUCAGUAUGUGGACUAUCAUCAACUCUAGUUGCUACUUCUUGUCACCAAUGAAUUGCGCAAGUUCAAAGAGUGUCGCAUGACAAAUUCAAAAGGUGUUGUAUGGCAAGUUCAGAAUUUUGGUUUCGUGAAAAGUGUGAUUUUUGGACAAUAUUUUGUGUGAUUCAUUUGUUCAUCUUCAGAACUUGGAGAUGUUAAGUCUACUUUUUCCUAUGAUGAAGGUACACAUGAGCUUCAUCUGCAAUGGUUAUCCGCCCUAGUGCUUCAAAGAUGCUUAUUUUGUUUCCCCUGUGACGCAACAAGGAUGAUAGUGACGACACUUACAAAAUUGUUUUCUGUGUUGCUAUGUUGUCAGUCCAAAGUGUGGUGAAGAUGUAGUCCUGGGUGUGUAGAUGAUGUGGUGUGUGUCUGGUUGUGUGUGUGUGCAUGAUGAUUGGUGGCUGUUGUGUGUGUGUGUGCAGGGUACCCGGCGACAGCGGAUAGGCGGCAAGUGUACUGGUGAGCAGCUACCCAGAAAAUACUGGAACAAGGCUUCCAAAGUAAGCUCCUUGCUUCUUGCUUCUCUUUAAAUCUCUUGAGCUUUACAUGGUAUGUUCAAGACAAGUCCUCUAGUGGUUGUAUUGUAUGACGUUCGUUUAAAUGAUCGGCUAUACUGACACCGCAUACGUGGAAACUUAAAAGAAAAUAAAAGGUGUUAAUGGAGAAAUAUAAGAACAAAAACAGUUAUGUGUAGCCAUCUAGCAACAUGGUGAUCAGACAAAAUCCCGACAGCCACCCUCCAUGGUGAUCAAUUCCAUGUGCUGAUGGGUAUGCUUGCCUAGCACAAAAUUCAUAAACUGUCAAUUUAUUUUGAAUUGAACUGAUGCUACUCUUGAUUCAGACCUGAGGGGAGAAGAUAGAACUAGAAUGAUUCAGUUCAGCAUUGGCACCCCUGUAAACCAAACAGUGAAGAACACACCAAAUGUACUUUUGCUCUUGUUCUUUCUAUCUCCUGAAUUCCACACGUUCUGUGAUGAGCAUGCUUGGUACUAUAUAGAUAAUGUUGUAGUAGUUCUAACACAAUAUAUUAGAAGAAUUAAUUGACAAAAAAGGUGUCAGUUCAUAUAUGUAUGCAUCAGCUGUUCUGAUACUACUUCAGUAACCAGAAAAACACAAAAUUUCAACUAUACUUAUGCAAAAUAGUUCAAUAUUUUUUUCUAUGAUAGUCAAGAAAAAAAGAAAAAAAAGAGGUUCAUCGUGUGAUGAACAAUAGUCCCAACAACUGUGCUAGAGAUGCAAAAAAUUGAUAGCAUAGCCGAUGCUAUUUUUCAUCCAAUUUCUGAAGAAAACUGAAGUUGAUCAGAGUAACUGAAGAAUAAUCUGUUAGUUCUCGAGUAUGUGUAAUGCUACCAUUUUACUGUGCAUUUGAUUCCAUCGUGAUGGAUGUAUUACAAAGAUAUGGCUGUAUUAUUAUGUUGAAUAAAAAUGCUAUUUUGCUGCAACAUUUUCUAUCAGCUCCUCUCAAGUUAUACAUGUAUGUGAGGAUCCUUCUAUGUAGUAAGUUCAUAGUCGAGAAGUCAAGGACUUCGUAAAGAACGUGAACACCAAAAAACCAUUAAAAAACCUAAACCAUAUGUUAGGGGAGUUCAAGAAGUUCAUGGCUAGCUGUCCGUGUUCUGUAUUCUUAUCAGUUCACAAUCGAGAAGACAUGUAUUCUUAUCAGUUUGUUUAUCUAGCCCGUCGUGCUGUGUAUUCUGGUCAGUUCGUGUGUGUAUGUGUUGCCCUCGCAGUGUAUGAGAGGCCGCCCAUGAGGAAGUCGUCGAUCUGGUCGAGGCAUGCUGCUAUUCUCUAUAUCCGGUAGCACAAACAUUUAAAAGUUCAAACACCAAACCCUGGUAAGUUCUUCUUAACAAAAACUCAUCCCUCAUAUUUGUUCCUUUUUCGUAGGUUGAAGUUAAAAAAGAUGGAGAUGUGUGUAUGUAUACAUGUGUUUUGGAGAGAGAAGAACUUAUCUGGUGGUGUGUGUGUGUGUGUGCUGCAUCCUCGUCCAGCAACUCUAAUCCACACUCUCUGUACAACUUCUCUAUGAUCUCAUGUUCACAAAUCUUGUAGUACAUUUUUUUAAUAAAAAUCUUCUAGUACUAUGUAAAGAAAGCGUGGCCAACACAUACUUUAGGUGUCGCACUGCACUGUUGAUGGUGGCCUUCCUUUGUGGCGCUACUACUUUGCCACCUAGAGUAGUACUGCUACUACUUAUCAUGUUGCUAAAACCUAGCAAAAGUACAUGUAUUUGAUUAACGGUUCUGUAGGAAGAAAAAUUUCACCAAUAUAUAAUCUCUAGGUUUAGUAAAGCAAUCUUUUUGUUUAGUAGCUGAUACUGCUCAAGUUUAUUUCUUGUUGUACAUAUGAUGUCCAAUUUCUUCUUUCAGUUCGAUUCAAUUUAUAAAUUUCAUUCAGUUCAAUUGUUAUUGUAGUUGGAGUUCAGUUUCUUUUUUGACUUCAAUUCAGGCAUGUGUUUGAACUUGCAACCUCACUGCCUUAAGCUACGAUUUCAAAUAGAAGUGUACUAAAAUGCAGGUACUAUGUGGUGGCAUUGCUACAGUUCUCUUGUUACGUUCUCUUCGCCCAAAUUCGGAGGAUCAAGAAAAUAAAAUAUCAUCGUUUUGACAUGCACUACUCAAAAGAAGGCAUUUCUAUUGAAAAAUUGUUUCGCUUGACAUGUACUUGCCAACAAUUAUGUAUAAUAAAUCAUGGCAUUGUAUGUAGAAAAAGAUAUAUUGUGUGUUCUGCUGUUGUAUUGAGUUGCUAUCUAUUGCUAAUUGUAUGAUGUUGCUAUUGCUCUCCGUGUCAUGUUAUGCAAGUUGACACCGAGUACACAUUGGAUGAUAUACUUCCGGUUUUUAUUUUCGC
rnacentral:lncRNA from 1 species